AUUGAACGCUGGCGGCAUGCCUUACACAUGCAAGUCGAACGGCAGCACGGGUGCUUGCACCUGGUGGCGAGUGGCGAACGGGUGAGUAAUACAUCGGAACAUGUCCUGUAGUGGUGGAUAGCCCGGCGAAAGCCGGAUUAAUACCGCAUACGAUCUACAGAUGACAGCGGGGGCCCUUCGGGCCUCGCGCUAUAGGGUUGGCCGAUGGCUGAUUAGCUAGUUGGUGGGGUAAAGGCCUACCAAGGCGACGAUCAGUAGCUGGUCUGAGAGGACGACCAGCCACACGGGGACUGAGACACGGCACAGACUCCUACGGGAGGCAGCAGUGGGGAAUUUUGGACAAUGGGCGAAAGCCUGAUCCAGCAAUGCCGCGUGUGUGAAGAAGGCCUUCGGGUUGUAAAGCACUUUUGUCCGGAAAGAAAUCCUUGGCCCUAAUACGGUCGGGGGAUGACGGUACCGGAAGAAUAAGCACCGGCUAACUACGUG
rnacentral:rRNA from 1 species